GGACCAGUGACGCAGUGGUUAGCGUUCCGCUCUUAUAUGAUCCUCAUUCCCUAUAUUCAACUGAGGGAGUGAUAUUCAUGUGCACCCAAGUUAUGCGGGGGUCGUGGGUUCGAAUCCCACUUGGUCUA